GUCCACGCCGUAAACGAUGGAUACUUGGUGUUGGAGGUAUUGACCCCUUCAGUGCCGAAGCUAACGCGUUAAGUAUCCCGCCUGGGAAGUACGGUCGCAAGAUUAAAACUCAAAGAAAUUGACGGGGGCCCCGCACAAGCGGUGGAGCAUGUGGUUCAAUUCGAUGCAACGCGAAAACCUUACCUGGGUUUGAAGUGCUAGUGAAUAAGGUAGAGAUAUCUUAGGGCCUUCGGGACACUAGUAUCAGGUGCUGCAUGGCUGUCGU
rnacentral:rRNA from 1 species